rnacentral:rRNA from 1 species
AGAGUUUGAUCAUGGCUCAGAACGAACGGUGGCGGCGUGGAUAAGACACUGCAAGUCGAACGGGAUUUCAAAUGUAGCAAUACAGUUGAAGCUUCAGUGGCGCAAGGGUGCGUAACACGUGGGCAAUCUGCCCUGGAGCGCGGGAUAGCUUGGCGAAAGCCAAAUUAACUCACCGCAUGUGGCUAUCGGAGGAGUCUCCGAGACGCUAAAGACGGCGCAAGCUGUCACUCCUGGAUGAGCCCGCGGCCUAUCAGCUAGUUGGUGAGGUAACGGCUCACCAAGGCUAUGACGGGUAGCUGGUCUGAGAGGACGACCAGCCACACUGGAACUGAAACACGCACCAGACACCUACGGGUGGCAGCAGUCGAGAAUUUUUCUCAAUGGGGGAAACCCUGAAGGAGCGACGCCGCGUGGAGGAUGAAGGUUUUCGGAUUGUAAACUCCUGUCAUUUGGGAACAAACCUUUCAUUUAACUGAUGAAAGACUGAUAGUACCAGAAGAGGAAGAGACGGCUAACUCUGUGUUAGCACCCGCGGUAAUAC